AGGCCUCUGGGAAAUGUAGUCCGUAGCCUAAAAGUUGCGAGCCUUUUCAGAUUCUUCUCAGCAUCAAGUAACACUCCCAGGCUCCGAGGGGAGUGCCGGGCUCAAUCGAAGCAGCUGCAGCAAAACUCAGCUAAACCUCCUCGGCAGAUCUGGCCGUCCUUAAACGCAGCGGUAAUUAUUUCCUCUGCUCGACCGCAGGAAAGCCGACCCGCCCCCCUGAGCCGCGGGGGCCUCUGGGAAGUGUUGCCGGCGUCUAACGGACCGAGGCUCGUGCUGCCCUCAGCCACAGUCGGCGCUGACCUUAGAGGCGCAUCUGACUCGGUCGGCACCGGCGGGGCCGCUUGGGCGGCGUUGAGGUGUGGAAUUGGGCCUGUGUCCGGGGGCUUGGUGAUUCUUAAAGUGUUCAUUUAUUCAUCAGCACACCAUUUAUUGAAUGCUGUCUGUGUGACAGGAAAAAUUCUAGAUGCUUCAGAUACAGCAUUGAACAAGAGAGAAACUCUUCUGUCAUGGUACUUACAUUGUCGUGGGCCAGAUAAUAAAUGAGGUAAGUAAGUUAAAUGUAACAUAUAUUCAGUAGUGAGAAAUAUUAAGAGAAAAAGUAAAGCAGAAGGACAGAUAGAAUUAGAUAAGGGAAUUAAGAGUUUUAGAUGAGGUAGCCAGGGAAGGUAGCCAGCAUCCUGAAAAGGUCAUAAUAAAGAUUUGAAGGAAGUAAAGGAGCUGUUUAUGCAUAUAAUUGAGGAAAGGUUAUUCCAGGCAUCGUGAACUACAGUUACAAAGUCCUGAGGUGGGAACAUACCUGUUACAGCAAAGAGGGUGGUGUGACUGAAAUAGAGCAAAUGAGAUGAAGACUAGUGAGAAAUGAGAGAAGGUUAAGUGGAGGAAAGCAGGGCAGAUCAGGUUGGAUCUUAUGGGCCAUAUUAUGAUUUUGGCUUUUAUUGUGAAUGAGAUGGGAAACUGUUGGAGAGUUUUGAUUAUAGGAGUGAUAUUAUCUGCUAUAUUAUGUGAUAUAAGUGAUAUAGUAAGUGAUAUAAGUGGAUCACUUUGGCUGCUCUGAUAAGAGAACUACAGGAGGAAGGAUGGGGUGGGGGGCAAGGGCAGAAGCAGAGAGACCAAUCAGGAAUACAAUACAAUAUUUACAAUAAUGUAGGGAAAAGAUGUCAGUGAUUUGGACUAGAGUAGUAAAAAUGGUGAGAAGUUGUAAUGUAGUAGAUAUAAUUUAAAGAUAGAGCUGAUACAAUUUGCUGAUGGAACUGAUGUGGAAUGUGACAAGACAGUAUUUUUUAAUCUGAGCAAUUAGAAGAAUGGAGUUAUCUUUAACUGAGAAAGGAAAGGAAGUGGGAAAAACUGACUUGGGGCAUAGGGAGAUAGAUUUCAGUUUGGAAUUCAGUAUAUGAAGCAUGAGAGCUGUCCACUAGAGAUAUUAAGUUGGCAGUAGGAUAUUACAAGUCUGAAGUUCAAAAGAAAGGUCUAAGAUCUAGGCCAAAGACAUAAAUUUGGGAAUUACCAGUAUAUAGAUGAUACCUAAAGCAAAUGGACUGAAUGAAAUCAGAGGGUAGGGUAGAUAGAAAAAGGUAGAGGUAAAGGACUUAUCUCUGGGUCACUCCAACAAAGUCUGGGAAAUGAGGAGAACCAGCAAAAAGGACUGAAAGGAACUAGCUCCAAUGGUUGGAGGGAAGUAAGGUGGAGAGAUGGGAGGAUAUUUUUCCCUUUAGUUGUCAAAUGUUUUCAAAAUAGAACAAUCCUUCUUUGUACCACCAUACCAGUUUAAGAAAACAUGGAAGAUUAUCAGCUGUAUUUCAGUCAGGGUUACGAAAUGAUGGUGUUUGAGAUCUACAUCCCUUCUUCAUUUACUGGCUGGAAUAUUUUUUUAAAGGAAAAAUUUCUGCCAUCAAUUCUUUGGUUACCUUGAGGAAAGUUUUUAAAGGAAAAGUGGAAUAAAUUGAUUCUUUCCCUUUUUAGGUUUUCAGGCUAUUGAAUUGGUUCCUUAGUAUUUCCCAGUGAGUUAUUAUUUUACUGUUAUGUAUGCAUAGAUUUUAACAUAUAAUAUGGUAUGAUUCAAACCACUGUGGUUAUUUUCUUUGUGAAGCUCAAAUUUUCCCAUCUUUGGUUAUCUCUUUGAGAUGGCUUCUAAGUCUUUCCAGCACAUCUCCAGAAGUCUUUGAUAGUGUUCUACAUUUCUUGGUAUGAAAGGUUAUUCCAAGAUCAUUUUGAACACUUCCUGCCCUAGGCGUGGAAUCAAGCAUUUCUUUAUGAUGCCUGAUUCCUUUUACUGGGAAAUGAUAUUUUGAGACCAGUUAUAGGCUUGUUGUUACUGGCAUGAUCAUUGUUUCUAGACAUUUUUUUUUUCUUGGUGGACAGAGCUAGGAAAUAUAUUCUUUUCAUUUAAAAAAAAUUUUUUUUAAAGAUUUUAUUUAUUUAGGGGCGCCUGGGUGGCACAGCAGUUAAGCGUCUGCCUUCGGCUCAGGGCGUGAUCCCGGCGUUAUGGGAUCGAAGCCCCACAUCAGGCUCUUCUGCUGUGAGCCUGCUUCUUCCUCUCCCACUCCCCCUUCUUGUGUUCCCUCUCUCGCUGGCUGUCUCUAUCUCUGUUGAAUAAAUAAAUAAAAUCUUUAAAAAAAAAAAAAAAGAUUUUAUUUAUUUAGAGAGGGAGAGAGUGUGUGUGUGGGGGGGGGGAAGAGCAGAGGGAGAGGGACAAACAGACUCCAUGCCGAGCACAGAGCCUGACUUGGGGCUUGAUCCCACCACCCUGAGAUGAUGACCUGAGCUGAAAUCGAGUCGGAUGCUCAACUGACGAGCCACCCAGGCACCCCCUUUUUAUUUUUUAACAGCUUGAUAUAUUUUAACCAUUUAAGGUAUACAAUUCAAUGUUUUUAAAAAUAUAUAUAUUCACAGGUACACCCAUUACCAUAAUGUAAAUUUUAGAGCAUUUUUGUCCCUACUAGAAGAAAUACCCAUUAGCAGUCAGUGUCCUGUUCCUCCUCUCAUCCCAGUUUAAUCAACCACUAAUCAGCUUUCUGUCUCUCUAAAUUUGCCUAUUCCAGAUAUGUCAUAUAAAUGAAAUCAUACAAUAUGUCAUCUUUUGUGACUGGCUUCCUUCACUUGGCAUGUUUUCAGUGUUCAUAAAUUUUGUAGCAGGAAAUAUAUUAACAGAAUGCACUUCAUGAGUUCAAAAUUGCUAUUUCUAAUUUUAAAAAUUUAGAAUUACCUGGUUUUUACUUUGGUUUUAUUUUUGUAUGUUUUAUUUGCUCAUCUAUCCAUCCAUGUUUUUAUUUCUGUGGUGUUGGUUGUUAUUUCUCCUCUCUCAUUUGUGAUUUUAUUUAUUUGAGUCCUUUCUCUUUUUUUUCUCAAUAAUUCUGGCUUAGAGGUUUAUCAGUUUAUUAUUUCCUUCCUUCUGCUGGCUUUAGGCUUCGUGUUGUUCUUUUUCUUGCUCCUUUAGGUGUAAGGUUAGGUUGUUUAUUUGAGAUGCUUCUUGCUUCUUAAGGUAGGCCUGCAUUACUCUCUACUUCCCUCUUAGAACCGCUUUUGCUGCAUCAAAGGUUUUAAACCAUCGUGUUUUCAUUUUCAUUUGUUUCCAUGUAUUUUUUUUAAAAUUUCUUCAUUUUAUUUUAUUUUUUUAUUUUAUUAUUAUUUUUUUAAUUUGUUUUUAUUAUAUUAUGUUAGUCACCAUACAGUACAUCCCUGGUUGUUGAUGUAAAGUUCGAUGAUUCAUUAGUUGCGUAUAACACCCGGUGCACCAUGCAAUACGUGCCCUCCUUACUACCCAUCACCAGCCUAUCCCAUUCCCUCCCCUCCCUCCCCUCUGAACCCCUCAGUUUGUUUCUCAGAGUCCAUAGUCUCUCAUGCUUCAUUCCCCCUUCUGAUUACCCCCCCUUUCUUUAUCCCUUUCUUCCCCUACCAAUCUUCCUAGUUCUUAUGUUCCAUGGAUGAGAGAAACCAUAUGAUAAUUGUCUUUCUCUGCUUGACUUAAUUUCUUCUUUGAUUUCCUGGUUUACCCAUUCAUGUUGUUUAACCUCCAUGUAUUUGUGGUCUUUCCAGAUUUAUUCUUGUGGUCAACUUCUAGUUUCAUAGCAUUGUCAGAAAAGGUCAAGGAGUCUUGUUUAUAUUGUAUUUGUGCCUCUACCAUCUUGUUUUUCUAUUAUUAGUAACUUUUAAAAAUGUUUUAGUGUUAAACAUUUCAUUUUUUAACUUGAGCAAAUAUGCUUAAUGUGUGUAUAUUCAUGUCAUCCUUCUUAGAUAAAUUUUAGCUUACAAUUUCCAUGUUCUUUUUUAAAUCUCACUGUUCU
rnacentral:lncRNA from 1 species